CACCCCUGACAGUGGGCAAAGAGACAUCUUGUUGGUGGUGUUCUUAUAUCAGUCAAGGGCAGAACAGAUGGCAGUCCUUUGUUCAACCUAGCUUGAUGCCUGGCUUGGUGGCUGUACUGGCUGGUUUUGUGUGCCAACUU